rnacentral:rRNA from 1 species
GACGAACGCUGGCGGCGUGCUUAACACAUGCAAGUCGAACGGAAAGGCUCCUGCUUGCAGGGGUACUCGAAGUGGGCGAACGGGUGAAGUAACACGUGGGUGAUCUGCCUUGCACUCUGGGAAUAAGCUUGGGAAAACUGGGGUCUAAAUACCGGAUAGUAGCCGCCUUUAGUGGUGGUGGGUUGGAAAGUUUUUUCGGGUGCAAGAUGGAGCUCGGCGGCUUAUCAGCUUGUUGGUGGGGUAAUGGGCCUACCAAGGCGUCGACGGGUAGCCGGCCUGAGAGGGUGUACGGCCACAUUGGGACUGAGAUACGGCCCAGACUCCUACGGGAGGCAGCAGUGGGGAAUUAUUGCACAAUGGGCGGAAGCCUGAUGCAGCGACGCCGCGUGGGGGAUGACGGCCUUCGGUUGGUAAACUCCUUUCGACAGGGACGAAGCUUUUUGGUGACGGUACCUGUAUAAGAAGGCACCGGCUAAACUACGUGCCAGCAGCCGCGGUAAUACGUGGGGUGCGAGCGUUGUCCGGAAUUACUGGGCGUAAAGAGCUCGUAGUGGUUUGUCGCGUCGCCUGUGAAAUUCGGGGCUUAACUCCGGGCGUGCGGCGAUACGGCAUAACUUGAGUGCUGUAGGGGAGACUGGAAUUCCUUGUUGUAGCGGUGAAUGCGCAGAUAUCAGGAGGAACACCGAUGGCAAGGCAGGUCUCUGGGCAGUAACUGACGCUGAGGAGCGAAAGCAUGGUAGCAACAGG